AACCCACAUUUUCCGGCUUAUAGUUAGAACCUAUUCCGAACAUCACUUUCAACUGGUGAAAUCCAUAAACGGACUCCCUGCUGGACAGUAAAAUAGGGCGAGAAAACAUCUAUCGGUCGUGAGAUGGAAGAAUUCAUCCAGAGAAUCGAUUUCGAGUGAUUCACUCCGAGUUUAACUGCACACAAUCACAGUUACGUCGUUAACGAACUGCUUACCUGGAUGCCAUUUUCAUCUCUGAAGAGUUUCGCAACGGCCUCUGUGAUUUUGUGGUCUCGCUCAAUUCCUUCAGUGUCUCCGAAUCCCGGCGUGUCGACGAUAGUCAGCGAAAA